GAUAUCCUGAAUCCACAAGAACAAAUGAAGAAAACCAGAAAUGGAGAAUUCUGGAAAGAUGACGUGAAUAGGUGUAAGUUCCUGAGCCUCCACACAUGUACACCAAGAAACACAAGGAGAGAUUUGUACUUGGCCCUGAGGGACUUCGAAUUGGUGGGCAGAGGACAUGGAGCUGCAGAUGCAUUGAAGUCAACAGUGAGUACCAUAUGAUAGGAAAAGUGCUUUGUCCACUUCCUGCCCCUCCCCCUCCCCCUCCUGGAACUGCAGACUUACAGAUAGCCGUGUAGUGGCGCACAGACAGCACUGGUGGAGCCCACUCUCCUGACCAACCCACCCCUUCUCAGUGCAACCGAAAGACACUUGCUGCAUUCAGUCAACCCACGGCUCACCUGAACAUGGGAACGGUCCUAAUAUCUGGCUCUGAGAUAAGUGGGCCCUCACAGAGUGGGGAAAGGAGUGGCAAACAAUGAAAGAAUGCUGCAUCUGAGCCUACAGGUGGUUCAUUUGAUGUGGGCUAUUUUUGACCAGUUUUGGAGCUACUAAAUGACUGAAAAUGUGGUCACAGAAACAAUCCACACAGAGCAGGGGAAGAAGGGGAGGGAGCAGUAACCAAAGAAAAAAUGCUGUGCCCCUGGAGGAAGGAUUGAUUAGCGUGUGUUCUUUGUUCUUGGGAGUGUUGAAAGAUGGAAACCUUGGUCUGGACUUCUUAAAACAGGGAGAGGGAAUGGUAAGUAAAUUUGAAUGCUCUGCCACCUAGGAGUUGCAGAAAGUAGCAAUGUAAAUUCUACUGAAUACUUGAGAGAAUUGAGAUAGCUAACACCUUGUAAAAUCGUAAUAUCCCAGCCUCAACAAAAAAUCACAGCACAUAAACUGAAAACAAUGGCCCAUCCAAGUGAACAGGACGGUGGGAGACAAUUCUCAUUUAUAGAACUCCAAAUAAUGAACAGAUUGGGAGAUUAUACAACAAUAUUAAUGAAGCUCAAAGAGCUAAGAGAAAACACAAGGAACUAAAGGAAGAAAGGAAAAUAGUGCACGAAUAAAAUGAGAAUUUAAGUAAAGAUAUAGACUGUAGAAAAAUAAACACUGUAACUAAAAGAUGACUGAAAUGAGAAGCUCAUUGAAAGAAUUGAACAACAGAUUUGAGCAGGCAGAAGAAAGACUCUUUAACUAGAGGAUAAGGCAUCAAAAUUAUAUAAGCUGAAGAGCAACUAGUAAGAAGACACAACACUCCUGAGCACAGUUUAAUGGAAUUAUUGAGAUAGUAUCAACCAAACCAGCAUAUACAUGAUGAGAAUCCCAGAAGAGGACAAGAGAAAGAAGGACAAAGAAUAUUUGAAAAAAUGACAGAAAACUUUCCAAAUAUGGUGAAAGACAUAAACCUAUAAAUCCAAGAAGCUCAACGUACUCCCAAGUAAGAUAAACUGAGAAAUCCACACUGAGACACAUUUUAAUCAUGCUUUCUAGAACUGAAGACAGAAUUCUGCAAGUAGCUACAGAAAAAUGAAUAGUUCUAUACAAAGAAACUUUAAUAAGAUUUCUCCUAAGAAAACUUGGAAGCCAGAAGGUAAUGGAGUGAUAUGUUCAAGGUGCUGAAAGAAUAAAACUGUCAACCAAGAUUUCUAUGUGCAGCAAAACUGUGAAGAACUAGGGUGAAAUUUAAAAAAAAAAAAAUA